rnacentral:misc_RNA from 1 species
AACGCACGAGACCUGCGGACCUGCGGAAGGAUCAUUAGUGAACGCCCUCACGGGCUUAUAACUAUUCCAAACCUCUGUGAACCGUGCCCUUCGGGGCUAUUUUACAAACAUGGUGUAAUGAACGUCAUAUAUCGUAACAAAACAAAACUUUCAACAACGGAUCUCU